UACGUAGGGUGCAAGCGUUUAAUCGGAAUUACUGGGCGUAAAGCGUGCGCAGGCGGUUUUGUAAGUCUGUCGUGAAAGCCCCGGGCUCAACCUGGGAAUUGCGAUGGAGACUGCAAGGCUUGAAUCUGGCAGAGGGGGGUAGAAUUCCACGUGUAGCGGUGAAAUGCGCAGAGUAUCAGGAGGAACAACCGGUGGCGAAGGCG
rnacentral:rRNA from 1 species